GUUUACUCAAAAUUUGUUGUUGAUGACAGCGUUAUCAUGCUUAUGUUUACUCAAAAUUUGUUGUUGAUCGACAGCGUUAUCAUGCUUCCUUUAUGGAGGAGGUGCACUCAUGGAUGAUUAUAUCUGCGGGUGACUUUCUGAUACUUAUCAUUAGUAUAAUUGGGCAGCUGUUGUAGCAUGUUCAUCAGCAGUCAUAGGAUUACUUCAUGAUUCAAAGUAUCACCGGUGACGGAUUUGAUACUCACUCUUUACUGGCAUCGUACUCACGGUUUCUGGUUGUAUCACAUGUUGAGCGGAGCAAGACUGACUCUGUAUGUUGAGCUUUUACAUUGACCCGAGAUUGUCAAAGAUAAAAGAACACAAGGUUCAGCUAUAUUCGUACAAGCUUGAUCCUCAAAACUGUUUCAAUCGCAUGGAAAAAUCCCCGUAGAAAUCUAAGGCUACAAACAUUGGGGAUCUGCAGGCUAAAAAAAAAAAAAAAAACCCAAAGGAAUUGCGUAGAGAGUAAUUUUGAACAAUAUUUCCAUGUAAAUUCUAUUAACACAGACAACUAGAGUGAGGGUGAUGAGAGGAUGUUAGUAGAGUUACGUUUUGAAGCAAACAAUCAUUGUUUAAUCAACCGGGGGCGAAGGCGUUUUUUCUUCUCCGACUUUUAGCGAGGGUUUUUAAUCCGUCGCUUUAAAUAUAUUUAGUAACGGUUAGCGA